rnacentral:piRNA from 1 species
UGAUUUUAUAGGUGAUGGAGAUGCUCAA